UGGGCUCGAACGGCUUAAGACCGGCGUAGAAAUACGCUUUUUCCGCAAGGAACUUGAGUCGAGGUGCUGCAUGGCUGUCGUCAGCUCGUGUCGUGAGAUGUUGGGUUAAGUCCCGCAACGAGCGCAACCCUUGCCCUGUUUUGCCAUCAUUAAGUUGGGAACUAUCAGGGGACCGCCAGCGAUAAGUUGGAGGAAGGUGGGGAUGACGUCAAGUCAUCAUGGCCUUUAUGUCCAGGGCUACA
rnacentral:rRNA from 1 species